CGGACGGGUGAGUAACGCGUGGGUAACCUGCCUCAUACAGGGGAUAACAGUUAGAAAUGACUGCUAAUACCGCAUAAGCGCACAGGACCGCAUGGUCCGGUGUGAAAAACUCCGGUGGUAUGAGAUGGACCCGCGUCUGAUUAGCUGGUUGGUGAGGUAACGGCCCACCAAGGCGACGAUCAGUAGCCGGCCUGAGAGGGUGAACGGCCACAUUGGGACUGAGACACGGCCCAAACUCCUACGGAAGGCAGCAG
rnacentral:rRNA from 1 species